UACGUAGGGGGCAAGCGUUGUCCGGAUUUAUUGGGCGUAAAGAGCGUGUAGGCGGCUUGGUAGGUCUCGCGUCAAAACCUGAGGCUCAACCUCAGUUCGCGUGGGAAACCACCUAGCUAGAGUCCGGAAGAGGAGAACGGAAUUCCCAGUGUAGCGGUGAAAUGCGCAGAUAUUGGGAGGAACACCAGUGGCGAAGGCGGUUCUCUGGGACGGUACUGACGCUGAGACGCGAAAGCGUGGGGAGCGAACAGG
rnacentral:rRNA from 1 species